rnacentral:rRNA from 1 species
CCUACGGGAGGCAGCAGUAGGGAAUCUUUCACAAUGGGCGAAAGCCUGAUGGAGCAACGCCGCGUGCAGGAUGAAGGCCUUCGGGUUGUAAACUGCUUUUAUAAGCGAGAAAUAUGAUGGUAACUUAUGAAUAAGGAUCGGCUAACUACGUGCCAGCAGCCGCGGUCAUACGUAGGAUCCGAGCAUUAUCCGGGGUGACUGGGUGUAAAGAGUUGCGUAGGUGGCAUAAUAAGUAGCUAGUGAAAUCUGGUGGCUCAACCAUUCAGACUAUUAGCUAAACUGUUAAGCUCGAGACCGUUAGGGGUAACUAGAAUUUCUAGUGUAGGAGUGAAAUCCGUAGAUAUUAGAAGGAACACCAAUAGCGUAGGCAGGUUGCUGGGACGGUUCUGACACUAAGGCACGAAAGCGUAGGGAGCAAACGGGAUUAGAUACCCGUGUAGUC